GGUUAGCAACCACGAACCAGAAACAAUCAACUUUUAGCUGUUAAAUGCUGUAGGCAACGACGUAACACUAGCCAAUACGACUAAGGACAGCGUCAUCCUUCAGCAUAUUUUAGAGUGGCGUGUGCAGCGCAAUCGCAUUUUUAUGGCCAUUUAUUUCGAAUGUUCCCAAGGCCUUCUGAAGGUUUUCUAAACUAACUUGGGGAAAAAAAGUAUGGCAGCGGUGGGAUUCGAACCCACGCCUCCGAAGAGACUGGUGCCUUAAACCAGCGCCUUAGACCGCUCGGCCACGCUACCCACAUUGAAAGGUUAAAAGACGGUAAAAUCCGUGCUCGAAAUACUCAACUGCUCGCGUGCAAAGUUACAAACUUGUGUCGUUUUGAAGAGAGACGAGAUUGAUGUGGCCCUAUGUCAUAUUGUGAUAGAAUGUCCACAAAAAAAAUAGGUUACUCAAAAAUAAAGUUCGGAGAGUAAAUCGUUUGAAAAUCUGAACCACGCAAGAAAAUUCCACAUAAAACGAAGUGUACUUGGCCAGGAUACGCAAUCUACCGCCCUUAUCCCCCUAGUCUGGAUGUCCAUCAGUGGUCAGCUGGGUCAGCUGUGGCUUGGCUCUGGCCGGCUGUGGCGCUGUAGUCAGUCGUGCCAAAUAGCCUCCCUAGUGCCAAAGUGCUGUUUUGGUUUCUCCGUCGACUGAGCUGAGGCAUUAAAAUUGCCUGCCUAUAACAUACAGAAAUCAUGGCCAUAUUGACCAGAACAUUCUUCUAUAAGCUAAUUAAAGGAGGCGGUGCAUCCCCGUCGCGACUAAAGUUCUUGCUUGUCCUUUCUUCGAUAUAUGUCCUUAUAAGGUUCCUCUUAACGUGGAAUGGGUAUCCGAAGGCUGCUGGAGAAAAUGGACUGCCCGCCUCCAACUCGACAGGUUUAGCAUACGAUGACAUUCACAUUGGAGUUACGAGCCUGACCGGUUUUCUGAAUGCUUUGAAGGUGGACACUGAGUAUGAGACAGUCCAUAUAGUUCCUGCAAUCUCUGUUGGGGACCGUGUUCCCAACUGCGGCCUGCAAGACCCCUGCUCUGAAGACUCCUUUGCAGUGCACAUUUUCACGGGCCAGGACCACCAUGACCAGCCCAGACUUUGCGUCGACGGGAAAUAUAUCUUGGGCACCAAUCUGAACAAUGGCGGCCGAGGCAUCAACGUAGCAGUCAUCGACAGCGUAACAAGAUUCGUGCAGCGUGUCAGCCACUUCGACACCUACGAAGAAGAUUCAUCUCAGCUAGAAACGUUACUUCUAAAUCUGAGGCAAGGGGACAUCCUCAUCUUGCUUACAUUCGACGAGCCUACGCGAAAACUUUCGCAGAUAGCGAGGCUUUUGCUACAUGAACUUGGAAGUGCGAUGGCACAGAACCUUCAUUACCGGUCUUCCUGGUACUUUAUCACUCAGAAGGGAAUCUCUGGCUUCUCCCCAUAUGAGGAUAAAAGCCUUUAGGUGAUUUUUGUUUUCUGUUUGAUUUGAGCUGCACUUUGUGGAAGCCAAAGGAUGGGCUGUGCCACACGAUAUUCGAAUGUGUGUCUCCUUCAAAUUAUCUGGAAGAACCAUUCACCCUGACCCCAGGCCUCAGGAGAACCUGAAAAGGAGACAGUUUU